GAUGAACGCUGGCGGCGUGCCUAAUACAUGCAAGUCGAGCGAACGGACGAGAAGAGUGCGUUUCUGAUGGUAGCGGCGGACGGGUGAGUAACACGUGGAUAACCUACCUAUAAGACUGGGAGAACUUCGGGAAACCGGAGCUAAUACCGGAGAAUAUUUUGAACCGCAUGGUUCAAAAGUGAAAGACGGUCUUGCUGUCACUUAUAGAUGGAGCCGCGCUGCAUUAGCGAGUUGGUAAGGUAACGGCUUACCAAGGCAACGAUGCAUAGCCGACCUGAGAGGGUGAUCGGCCACACUGGAACUGAGACACGGUCCAGCCCCCGACGGAAGGCAGCAGUAGGGAAUCUUCCGCAAUGGGCGAAAGCCUGACGGACCAACGCCGCGUGAGUGAUGAAGGUCUCCGGAUCGUAAAACUCUGUUAUUAGGGAAGAACAUAUGUGUAAGUAACUGUGCACAUCUUGACGGUACCUAAUCAGAAGGCCCCGGCUACCUACGU
rnacentral:rRNA from 1 species